rfam:Schistosoma rodhaini strain Burundi genome assembly, scaffold: SROB_scaffold0004360
AUCCAGUUGGCGAGUCCCAAAUAGGACGAAACGUGUGUCCUGGAU